rnacentral:rRNA from 1 species
ACGGGUGAGUAAUAUAUCGGAACGUACCCAGAAGUGGGGGAUAACGUAGCGAAAGUUACGCUAAUACCGCAUACGAUCUACGGAUGAAAGUGGGGGAUCGCAAGACCUCAUGCUUUUGGAGCGGCCGAUAUCUGAUUAGCUAGUUGGUGAGGUAAAGGCUCACCAAGGCGACGAUCAGUAGCUGGUCUGAGAGGACGACCAGCCACACUGGGACUGAGACACGGCCCAGACUCCUACGGGAGGCAGCAGUGGGGAAUUUUGGACAAUGGGCGCAAGCCUGAUCCAGCAAUGCCGCGUGAGUGAAGAAGGCCUUCGGGUUGUAAGGCUCUUUUGUCAGGGAAGAAACGGCCUCAGCUAAUAUCUGGGGCUAAUGACGGUACCUGAAGAAUAAGCACCGGCUAACUACGUGCCAGCAGCCGCGGUAAUACGUAGGGUGCAAGCGUUAAUCGGACUUACUGGGCGUAAAGCGUGCGCAGGCGGUUUUGUAAGUCUGUCGUGAAAGCCCCGGGCUUAACCUGGGAAUUGCGAUGGAGACUGCAAGGCUUGAAUCUGGCAGAGGGGGGUAGAAUUCCACGUGUAGCAGUGAA